rnacentral:rRNA from 1 species
AACGAACGCUGGCGGCAUGCCUAACACAUGCAAGUCGAACGAGACCUUCGGGUCUAGUGGCGCACGGGUGCGUAACGCGUGGGAACCUGCCCUUAGGUUCGGAAUAACUCCCCGAAAGGGGUGCUAAUACCGGAUAAUGUCUUCGGACCAAAGAUUUAUCGCCUUUGGAUGGGCCCGCGUUGGAUUAGCUAGUUGGUAGGGUAAAAGCCUACCAAGGCGACGAUCCAUAGCUGGUCUGAGAGGAUGAUCAGCCACACUGGGACUGAGACACGGCCCAGACUCCUACGGGAGGCAGCAGUGGGGAAUAUUGGACAAUGGGCGAAAGCCUGAUCAAGCCAUGCCGCGUGAGUGAUGAAGGCCUUAGGGUUGUAAAGCUCUUUUACCCGGGAUGAUAAUGACAGUACCGGGAGAAUAAGCUCCGGCUAACUCCGUG